GUUAGAAUUGAUGGUAAAGCAGUCAUCCCGAGGGAAUCAGAUUGAAAGAUGAGCCGCAAAAUCUGUGAUUGGUUUCUUCAGAGUGAUGGGAGAGGGAUUGAAAGCGAAGUUGGGGAGGAAGUGAGGUUUCAGAAAGAUCCAUUGAAGGAAAAGUAAAAAAGAUGACACUUCUGUUGUUAAAUGGGUGGAAUUUGUCAUUUAGUGUUACAGAUCUUGUAAACUUGUUUCUUCGCUUUGUCUGUUGUUUAUUUUAUACUUUUCUUAUAUAGGAUAGGAUAUAAUAGGGAAGAAUAAGAUGAACAAUUUCACAUUAAACUUCAAUCUUAUAACAUUUUCCUUAUUUUCA